rnacentral:rRNA from 1 species
AAUUGCUAGUAAUGGCAGGUCAGCAUACUGCCGUGAAUACGUUCCCGGGCCCUUGUACACACCGCCCGUCACACCAUGAGAGUUGGGAAUACCCGAAGCCUGUGAGCUAACGUUAAGAGGCAGCAGUCGAAGGUAGAAUCAAUGAUUGGGGUGAAGUCGUAACAAGGUACC